rnacentral:rRNA from 1 species
GUGUCAGCCCGCGGUAAUACGGAGGGUGCGAGCGUUAAUCGGAAUUACUGGGCGUAAAGCGCAUGCAGGUGGUUUGUUAAGUCAGAUGUGAAAGCCCGGGGCUCAACCUCGGAAAUGCAUUUGAAACUGGCAGGCUAGAGUACUGUAGAGGGGGGUAGAAUUUCAGGUGUACCGGUGAAAUGCGUAGAGAUCUGAAGGAAUACCGAUGGCGAAGGCAGCCACCUGGGACAACACUGACGCUCAUGUACGAAAGCGUGGGGAGCAAACAGGAUUAGAAACCCGCGUAGUCC